rnacentral:rRNA from 1 species
ACACAUGCAAGUCGAGGGGCAGCGGGAUUGAAGCUUGCUUCAAUUGCCGGCGACCGGCGCACGGGUGAGUAACGCGUAUCCAACCUUCCGUACACUCAGGGAUAGCCUUUCGAAAGAAAGAUUAAUACCUGAUGGUAUCUUAAGCACACAUGUAAUUAAGAUUAAAGAUUUAUCGGUGUACGAUGGGGAUGCGUUCCAUUAGGUAGUAGGCGGGGUAACGGCCCACCUAGCCAACGAUGGAUAGGGGUUCUGAGAGGAAGGUCCCCCACAUUGGAACUGAGACACGGUCCAAACUCCUACGGGAGGCAGCAGUGAGGAAUAUUGGUCAAUGGACGAGAGUCUGAACCAGCCAAGUAGCGUGAAGGAUGAAGGUCCUACGGAUUGUAAACUUCUUUUAUAAGGGAAUAAACCCUCCCACGUGUGGGAGCUUGUAUGUACCUUAUGAAUAAGCAUCGGCUAACUCCGUGCCAGCAGCCGCGGUAAUACGGAGGAUGCGAGCGUUAUCCGGAUUUAUUGGGUUUAAAGGGAGCGCAGACGGGUCGUUAAGUCAGCUGUGAAAGUUUGGGGCUCAACCUUAAAAUUGCAGUUGAUACUGGCGUCCUUGAGUGCGGUUGAGGUGUGCGGAAUUCGUGGUGUAGCGGUGAAAUGCUUAGAUAUCACGAAGAACUCCGAUUGCGAAGGCAGCACACUAAUCCGUAACUGACGUUCAUGCUCGAAAGUGUGGGUAUCAAACAGGAUUAGAUACCCUGGUAGUCCACACGGUAAACGAUGGAUACUCGCUGUUGGCGAUAUACUGUCAGCGGCUUAGCGAAAGCGUUAAGUAUCCCACCUGGGGAGUACGCCGGCAACGGUGAAACUCAA